CAACAACAAGUACAAUAACAGUAGGAAAAUUGUAAAAAAAAAUGGAUGUAAUGGGCUAUAAAUAACCGAAUAUCAACUUUGUAAGGGGCUUUUUUUUCGGUUUUUUUCAAAAAAUUUGAAGAAAUAAAAAGUUUGAAGGUGAUCUUUUUUUUUGAUUUCCUUGAUCCUAUCUUCGCUUGUUUAUUUUUUUUUCUCUGAAUCGUUUCUUUCUUUUUUUGUUCAUUUAAUCAAUAUAUAUAUAUAAUACAUAAAAUAAAGACAAAGGGGAGAGUUUUACCUGAUUUCGGUGGAGGAACGGAG
rnacentral:lncRNA from 1 species